rnacentral:rRNA from 1 species
GACGAACGCUGGCGGCGUGCCUAAUACAUGCAAGUUGAGCGCUGAAGGUUGGUACUUGUACCAACUGGAUGAGCAGCGAACGGGUGAGUAACGCGUGGGGAAUCUGCCUUUGAGCGGGGGACAACAUUUGGAAACGAAUGCUAAUACCGCAUAAAAACUUUAAACACAAGUUUUAAGUUUGAAAGAUGCAAUUGCAUCACUCAAAGAUGAUCCCGCGUUGUAUUAGCUAGUUGGUGAGGUAAAGGCUCACCAAGGCGAUGAUACAUAGCCGACCUGGGAGGGUGAGCGGCCACAGUGGGACUGAGACCCGGCCCAAACGCCUACGGGAGGCAGCAGUAGGGAAUCUUCGGCAAUGGACGAAAGUCUGACCGAGCAACGCCGCGUGAGGGAAGAAGGUUUUCGGAUCGUAAAACUCGGUUGGUAGAGAAGAACGUUGGUGAGAGUGGAAAGCUCAUCAAGUGACGGUAACUACCCAGAAAGGGACGGCUAACUACGUG